AAACUACGCAAGAGAUGAGAUGGCCCGUCAGCAUGUCAGCUUCCAAAAAUAGACAAUACCAGUACUAUAAAUUAAGAAUUGUGCAAAUUGCAGCUGUAACCCUUGUGUUAAAAUCAUGCAAUUUUUCGAACUUUAGUGAUAUGCAGAUUUUGUUUUGAGGACACUGUUUUGAAUUAUUUUGGUUUGCUCACAGAACUGAAGCCAAAAAUUGCCAAUAAGCUGAAAUGAAGUUCCUGGUCAAUGAGUUAGAGUUGUUUUAUCGUUAGUGAGCUGCUCAGUGAGCAAUGAGCAAGCCUCCAACUUGUAAUAGUCUGUCACACAACAGAUGUCUAAAUCUGAACAGAACACCAAAACCACUUCCUUUUCUUAUUAUAGUCCAAAUAGAGAAGUCAGUAGAAGACACCCCGAUGAGUGUGCCAUUCAUUUGAUUUACCGUCAUUCGACAUUGCUAGUCGCUCCUUUACACAUCGCUCAUCUCUUACGUACAUAUUAUUUCAUACAAAUCCCCUUAUUCUUCUUGGAACUAUAUCAAGAUCAUCAGCAAUAUACCAACAUGAAAGGCUUCCUCUUCCUGUUGUACUGCAUAGAAAUCCUGGGUGCAGUGAAUGGAGCUCAAAGUGUCACAGGAAAUAUUCCUACCUCAAUUGCCUCAAAAGCUGCUUCAAACCCAAACUCUCCUUUUUCAUCUUCUCAAACACCCACCAUUGUUGCCAACAGCAUUUCUCAGUCAACUACAAAAGGACCCACCAGCCAUGCCGCUCCACCUUUACCUGGCGCACAUCGGCCCACCACCAAACCUUUCGUUAUGUUUUACAGGAAGGAAUACCUUUCACUGCUCAUGGUGACCGGCGGACUGAUCAUAGCCUGUGCUAUUCUGCUGUUUACUACUCUGCUGUUGAUUUGGAAGGUGUGCAAGUUGAGCAGACGCAUCAAGAUGCUGAGCAGCAACGCUGAUCUGAUCAGCACCUCUGAAUACUGGGUUGGAACUGCCAAGAGGAACAAAAGUGCGUCAGAGAAAGAAGACAAAGAGACCACUGUGUUAAUGUCUGACAUAAUUCAAACACAGGAGGACAUUGGUAAUGGUACCACCAAGGAAGAAGGCAAGAAGGUAAACGAAGGUGGACAAAAGGGAGAGGAAAACAAGAAGGAGGCGGGAGACCCUGCAAAGAGUGAGGAAGCUUCAACUGCACCUGAAACCGUUGAUUAAAAUGCGUCCACCACAAAGCCACAAGAGGAAGCCAAAGACUCCAAGUCCACCAAAUCGGCAGCAGCCUCCAACUCGAAGGGCACAGAGGAACCAAAGGAUGUGGUGUAGAAUUGUGCCAAAAAGUUUCCUGAGUGCCUGCAUUUAUUUCCAUAUAGCUUUACAAUACGAUAAUAAAGGAUACUUUUUUCAGCAGCUUUUGCUUUGCAGGAAGUUGAACAACUGCUGCUAAAUCUGUCAAACGGAGCACUGAGCAUUUCUUCUUGAAAACAAUUGGUAGAUAUUGUAUUUCUCUGUUAUUUGUGGCUUUUUUUUAUAUAUACAGCUAUAGACCUGUCACUCAAAAUGGACACGUCCUUAAUUAUGAGUUAUAUAAAAAUGUGAGAAAAACAAAGUUCUCUUCACAAACUCAAAAUAUUCCUUUAAAGUUAUGAAAAUCUUUUGUCCAAGUCAAUUUGUGUUGUGACAAACUUUACUUUUGGAGAUGUACAUACUUUUAAAUAACAUAUGCAACAAUAAAACCCUUCCUACCUAACUUUAGUCUUGAAUCUUUUACUUUGCUGCCAUUGUCCCGUUGAGUUGUGACUUUGUAUAGUGUGUGUAUUAAAAGUCUGAGAAGUUUGUCCCUUCUCAAUGCAACCUCUGCUUCAACUCCAGAAAGGAGCAGCAGUUGGAAACACUCAGAGUUGCAGUAGCUCUGGGUGAUGUGCAAGUUUAAAGAUGCAGUAAAUGCAAUCCUCAGUCAAAAUAAAUGUCAAUGUCUGAUUGUAAAUCAGGCAAUCAAAGUGAAUAAGGUAAACUUGGAUAUGAGAGAUUUGGAUGAUUUAUUUCUCUCUGCUGCUAUGUGCUAACCAGUGGCGUAGCUAGGCCCAUUUUAGGUGGGCUUCACCAGAUUUAUGCAAAUGUUCUUUAUUUUGGGCAAGGGGGACCUGUGUCAGUGUUUUCUCCAAUCAUUCAAUGUUUUUAUG
ensembl:lncRNA